UCGGGAAUUUUGGGCAAUGGGCGAAAGCCUGACCCAGCAACGCCGCGUGAAGGAUGAAGUCUCUCGGGAUGUAAACUUCGUAAGAAUAGGAAGAAUAAAUGACGGUACUAUUUGUAAGGUCCGGCUAACUACGUGCCAGCAGCCGCGGUAAUACGCAGGGACCAAGCGUUGUUCGGAUUUACUGGGCGUAAAGGGCGCGUAGGCGGCGUGGUAAGUCACUUGUGAAAUCUCCGAGCUUAACUCGGAACGGUCAAGUGAUACUGCUGUGCUAGAGUACAGAAGGGGCAAUCGGAAUUCUUGGUGUAGCGGUGAAAUGCGUAGAUAUCAAGAGGAACACCUGAGGUGAAGACGGGUUGCUGGGCUGAUACUGACGCUGAGGCGCGAAAGCUAGGGUAGCAAACGGGAUUAGAUACCCAAGUAGUCCCUGAGCGGGCUGGCAAGGCGCAU
rnacentral:rRNA from 1 species